GACGAACGCUGGCGGCGUGCUUAACACAUGCAAGUCGAACGGAAAGGCCCUGCUUUUGUUGGGUGCUCGAGUGGCGAACGGGUGAGUAACACGUGAGUAACCUGCCCUUGACUUUGGGAUAACUUCAGGAAACUGGGGCUAAUACCGGAUAGGAGCUCCUGCUGCAGGGUGGGGGUUGGAAAGGUUCGGCGGUUGGGGAUGGACUCGCGGCUUAUCAGCUCGUUGGUGGGGUAGUGGCUUACCAAGGCUUUGACGGGUAGCCGGCCUGAGAGGGUGACCGGCCCCAUUGGGACUGCGAUACGGCCCAGCAUCCUACGGGAGGCAGCAGUGGGGAAUAUUGCACAACGGGCGGGAGCCUGAUGCAGCGGCGCCGCGUGCGGGAUGACGGCCUUCGGGUUGUGAACCGCUUUCGCCUGUGACGAAGCGUGAGUGACGGUAAUGGGUAAAGAAGCACCGGCUAACUACGUG
rnacentral:rRNA from 1 species